GUUGACAUACAGUAUUUGAGAGAAGUGUUCGUCUUAUCAAGAUUUUUUUUUAAAAACUGUACCAGACCUAUUUCAGUAUGUAGAUGGAAUAUAAUCUCUUCCACACAGGCAAUGUGGAAGGUGCCCUGGGAUACCCAUGGGACUUCAGCAUUGGUCCCCAGGUAGGAAAGACUGGCCCCAUAACAUAUAAAGAUGUAUGUGUAUUUGUGUGUGCACAAAGUUUCAAGUUUUGGUCCAUCCCCAAAGACAGGCCCAUGCGAAGAGACCUGCUGCAGACAUCUACUCCAGAAAACCGCAUCAGGGAGCGGAUAGCAGUAGGGACAAAAUGGCUGCUCGUGCCAGGCGUUCUGUGUCGACUGGCGAGCUGGACAUAUGGCACUCCCUGACUAAGGACGUGGUGGAGGAGAGCAUUCCCUGCAGGACACAGGAAAGGAUGAGGCCGUCCACAGCCAGGCAACACAGGCAUGAAUACUCCAGAUAUGACCCUUGAACACAAUCAGUUUGGGAGUAGGAAAGUGUCAAGUCAUGUCAAGGUGACUGUGGUGCUGGCUUACUGUGAUGAUGAUGAUUAAGAUGGUGAUGAUGAUAAUGAUGGAGAUGAUGGUAAUGAUGGAGAUGAUGAUGGUGAUGAGGAUGAUGAUGGAGGUGAUGAUGAUGAUGGUAAUGAUGAUGAUGGAAACAAUAGUGAUGAUGACUGCGGUGCAUAUGCCAUAGUCCCUCAGGCAGUGUGGGGAUCACAGAUGUCCAGCUGCAGGGUCUGUUAGUGCGGCUCGGGAACUCCUCCCAGAGAGAGCAGGACAUCGGGGGGUUCCGUCUCCAGCAGAACGUAGCAGGACGUCCCAUCGCAGAGUUCCUCUUCCCUCCCAGAACACUCCUCCAGCCAGCCAGCUCUGUUACGGAAGAAGCAUGUGUUUAGGGUGUGCCACAGUCCAUGGACCCAGAACCCUUCAUCCAUAACCCAUCCUUCCUGCUCCCCCUGUGCUCUGCUAGACUUCCGGGUCUAGCCCCAGAGCAACUCUGCAAGGCCAUACACCGUUACAGACCUCCAUAGUUAAAGUCAGAACUCUACUCCGUCGUUGAAUCCCAUGUCCAGGCCAGAAGACCUGCCAUCCUACGUUCCCAGCGGACUGGAGCAGGGGGAGGGUCUGUUCAAUCAGCAGGGCCCUCUGUAGGAGGAAUGAUGUUCCUUGGCCCUCAGCCCACCCUGCACCUCCCCCCUCCAGCAGUACCGCACUGCAGCUACACUCCACACCACAACAGGGUUAUCACUGCUUAGAUGCAUGAAAGUCAAGAGGUGCACAGGCACUGCUGCACAGGCACAUGACUGUCCAGGGACUACGGACAUGAGACUGAAACCACCUUGGGCAAGCAGCAGAAACAGAGCCCCACUCUACUCUUCAUCUGUCCUCCUACAGUUUUAUUAGAUCUAUUUUACAGAAGAUCCACUGUACUGUCAGCUUUGGCAUCUAUUGGUUGCCUGUUUAAAUACAUUGUACAUGGUUAAAUGGUCACAAAUGUCAACAUUACUCAAUAGGAUAAAAUGUAAAAAAUAUAUGUUUUGUUUUGUUUUAAAUAGGCAGUAAACAUAUUGGGAGUUGGGAUGUUGGGAUGUAUUUUAUUUUCCUCCAGGUCAAAGA